rfam:Triticum aestivum genome assembly, contig: Triticum_aestivum_CS42_TGACv1_scaffold_019606_1AS
AUAUUACUCCCUCCGUUUGGAAUUACUUGUCUUGAAAAUGGAUGUAUCUAGAACUAAAAUACAUCUAGAUACAUCCAUUUCAACGACAAGUAAUUCCGAACGGAGCGACAAGUAAUUCCGAACGGAGGGAGUAGUAA